rnacentral:lncRNA from 10 species
UAGCGCUGCCGCAGGUCUCGGGGCUGGUAGUAGCGCUGCCUGCAAACCAGCACCAAGGCUGCAAACGAAGCCAGAAAGAUGGUGGCCAGCACACCUAUGGCAACUAUCACCACGGUCUCCAUGCUUCCGGGGAGCUCCUGACUCAGUCCCGUUCACAUCGUCCUCAUGGGCUAAGGCUGCUGGAAGUGGCAAACUGGGGGAAGAGGAUGGCAGGAGCUAGGUUCCUCCACGACACCUCCAGAGACCUGAGGGCCUCAAGCUGCAGCUCCGGGGCACAUCCCGCUGCGCUCCCACGACGGCCCCGCGGAUGGCAAAGUCAGCGAAUUGACCACAAGAGAAGACUCCCUUUCAAACUCUUCAUUCUCUGGUUCAGAGGUUUGAUGUAAUGGUUGUCUCAUCGUACAUGGUCAGCCACAGGAUAUACUUCAUCCAUUUCAGAGCUGUACUCCUGAGUUCCAUGCUAUAAUCAGAAAUAUGUGGCACAUUUUGAACAAAGGAAAUAUAUACCCAACAAAGUGUUAAAAUGGAGCUGCCAACCAGACAAACCCUAGAAAUAUGUAGCCACUUACAGGCAGAACACAACUACAUGUGUUCCCAAUGUGGAAGGCAUUCCGGAAGUGUAUGCAUCCACAUUUCUACAUGAGGCAUCGCCUAUGCAGGCAAUCAAAGGAUGUUGAUGGAUAAGUGUUUCAGGCAGAAUAAUGGCCCUCAAAGAUGUUGACACCAGAAUCUUCAGAACCUUUGCAUAUGUUACCUAACAUGACAAAAGGGACUUUGCUGAUGUGA